GAAUUGGUUACAUGUGGAGAUAUGAAAGGAAUUAGGAUAGACCCUCCAUUUGAUGUGUUUCAAUAGUCAAAUCAGAACAGAAGUUACUCUCCUGUUGAUAUAGUGGAUAAAAUGUUUCAGGACAUCC